UACGGGGGGGGCAAGCGUUGUUCGGAAUUACUGGGCGUAAAGGGCGUGUAGGUGGCCAACUAAGUCCGACGUGAAAUCCCCAGGCUUAACCUGGGAACUGCGUCGGAUACUGGAUGGCUUGAAUUCGGGAGAGGGAUGCAGAAUUCCAGGUGUAGCGGUGAAAUGCGUAGAUAUGACAUAGAACACCAAUUGCGAAGGCAGCUGGCUACACAAAUAUUGACACUGAUGCACGAAAGCGUGGGGAUCAAACAGG
rnacentral:rRNA from 1 species